CGUCACACUAUCAUUAACUGAAUCCAUAGGUUAAUGAGGCGAACCGGGGGAACUGAAACAUCUAAGUACCCCGAGGAAAAGAAAUCAACCGAGAUUCCCCCAGUAGCGGCGAGCGAACGGGGAGGAGCCCAGAGCCUGAAUCAGCAUGUGUGUUAGUGGAAGCGUCUGGAAAGGCGCGCGAUACAGGGUGACAGCCCCGUACACAAAAGCGCAUGUGCUGUGAGCUCGAUGAGUAGGGCGGGACACGUGGUAUCCUGUCUGAAUAUGGGGGGACCAUCCUCCAAGGCUAAAUACUCCUGACUGACCGAUAGUGAACCAGUACCGUGAGGGAAAGGCGAAAAGAACCCCGGCGAGGGGAGUGAAAAAGAACCUGAAACCGUGUACGUACAAGCAGUGGGAGCACAGGUUUACCUGUGUGACUGCGUACCUUUUGUAUAAUGGGUCAGCGACUUAUAUUCUGUAGCAAGGUUAACCGAAUAGGGGAGCCGGAGGGAAACCGAGUCUUAAUUGGGCGUUAAGUUGCAGGGUAUAGACCCGAAACCCGGUGAUCUAGCCAUGGGCAGGUUGAAGGUUGGGUAACACUAACUGGAGGACCGAACCGACUAAUGUUGAAAAAUUAGCGGAUGACCUGUGGCUGGGGGUGAAAGGCCAAUCAAACCGGGAGAUAGCUGGUUCUCCCCGAAAGCUAUUUAGGUAGCGCCUCGUGAAUUCAUCUCCGGGGGUAGAGCACUGUUUCGGCUAGGGGGCCAUCCCGGCUUACCAACCCGAUGCAAACUGCGAAUACCGGAGAAUGUUAUCACGGGAGACACACGGCGGGUGCUAACGUCCGUCGUGAAGAGGGAAACAACCCAGACCGCCAGCUAAGGUCCCAAAGUCAUGGUUAAGUGGGAAACGAUGUGGGAAGGCCCAGACAGCCAGGAUGUUGGCUUAGAAGCAGCCAUCAUUUAAAGAAAGCGUAAUAGCUCACUGGUCGAGUCGGCCUGCGCGGAAGAUGUAACGGGGCUAAACCAUGCACCGAAGCUGCGGCAGCGACACUGUGUGUUGUUGGGUAGGGGAGCGUUCUGUAAGCCUGUGAAGGUGUGUCGUGAGGCAUGCUGGAGGUAUCAGAAGUGCGAAUGCUGACAUAAGUAACGAUAAAGCGGGUGAAAAGCCCGCUCGCCGGAAGACCAAGGGUUCCUGUCCAACGUUAAUCGGGGCAGGGUGAGUCGACCCCUAAGGCGAGGCCGAAAGGCGUAGUCGAUGGGAAACGGGUUAAUAUUCCCGUACUUGGUGUUACUGCGAAGGGGGGACGGAGAAGGCUAUGUUGGCCGGGCGACGGUUGUCCCGGUUUAAGCGUGUAGGUGUGUGUUCCAGGUAAAUCCGGUUCACUUUAACACUGAGGCGUGACGACGAGGCACUACGGUGCUGAAGCAACAAAUGCCCUGCUUCCAGGAAAAGCCUCUAAGCAUCAGGUAACAUCAAAUCGUACCCCAAACCGACACAGGUGGUCAGGUAGAGAAUACCAAGGCGCUUGAGAGAACUCGGGUGAAGGAACUAGGCAAAAUGGUGCCGUAACUUCGGGAGAAGGCACGCUGACACGUAGGUGAAGUGAUUUACUCAUGGAGCUGAAGUCAGUCGAAGAUACCAGCUGGCUGCAACUGUUUAUUAAAAACACAGCACUGUGCAAACACGAAAGUGGACGUAUACGGUGUGACGCCUGCCCGGUGCCGGAAGGUUAAUUGAUGGGGUCAGCGCAAGCGAAGCUCCUGAUCGAAGCCCCGGUAAACGGCGGCCGUAACUAUAACGGUCCUAAGGUAGCGAAAUUCCUUGUCGGGUAAGUUCCGACCUGCACGAAUGGCGUAAUGAUGGCCAGGCUGUCUCCACCCGAGACUCAGUGAAAUUGAACUCGCUGUGAAGAUGCAGUGUACCCGCGGCAAGACGGAAAGACCCCGUGAACCUUUACUAUAGCUUGACACUGAACAUUGAGCCUUGAUGUGUAGGAUAGGUGGGAGGCUUUGAAGUGUGGACGCCAGUCUGCAUGGAGCCGACCUUGAAAUACCACCCUUUAAUGUUUGAUGUUCUAACGUGGACCCGUUACCCGGGUUGCGGACAGUGUCUGGUGGGUAGUUUGACUGGGGCGGUCUCCUCCUAAAGAGUAACGGAGGAGCACGAAGGUUGGCUAAUCCUGGUCGGACAUCAGGAGGUUAGUGCAAUGGCAUAAGCCAGCUUGACUGCGAGCGUGACGGCGCGAGCAGGUGCGAAAGCAGGUCAUAGUGAUCCGGUGGUUCUGAAUGGAAGGGCCAUCGCUCAACGGAUAAAAGGUACUCCGGGGAUAACAGGCUGAUACCGCCCAAGAGUUCAUAUCGACGGCGGUGUUUGGCACCUCGAUGUCGGCUCAUCACAUCCUGGGGCUGAAGUAGGUCCCAAGGGUAUGGCUGUUCGCCAUUUAAAGUGGUACGCGAGCUGGGUUUAGAACGUCGUGAGACAGUUCGGUCCCUAUCUGCCGUGGGCGCUGGAGAACUGAGGGGGGCUGCUCCUAGUACGAGAGGACCGGAGUGGACGCAUCACUGGUGUUCGGGUUGUCAUGCCAAUGGCACUGCCCGGUAGCUAAAUGCGGAAGAGAUAAGUGCUGAAAGCAUCUAAGCACGAAACUUGCCCCGAG
rnacentral:rRNA from 2 species